CUGUCUUCUAUUCCUCCCCAGCUGUUUGUGUUUCAGGCCUUCUGAGGGGGAUCAUGCUGAAGGCACCUCCAGGGAGAGAGGAUGUGGGGGGAGCAGCAAUGGCAGAGACCUAUGUCCCAAAUGGAACCCAUGGCUCCAAGGCUGAGGCUCCUCAAGCCUCCAGCUAGACCCCCUUUUUCCUCAUCUCCCUCCCUGGGAACUCAACCUAGCCACAGUUCACUGGAGACAGCAACUCUCUUCCCCUCAGUUGGGUAAGGGACUUUGCAACCCUGGGAAAAUGUAGAGACUAGUGUAGAAUCAAUGAGGAGCAGAAUCAAAACCAGAAUACUAUCAUAUUUUACUGAUUCUAAGGUGCACAGUGUUUUACAUUUUACCAUCUUGGGAAUUAGAAUGCAUUUUACAAUCGAUGGCAUCAGGCCACGCACAGUGGCUCACACCUGUAAUCUCAGCAGUUUGGGAGGCUGAAGCAGGUGGAUCGCCCAAGGUCAGGAGUUUGAGACCAGCCCGGUCAACAUGGCAAAACCCUGUCUCUACUAAAAAUACAAAAAUUAGCUGGGCAUGGGGUGGGCACCCUAUAAUGCCAGCUACUCAGGAGGCUGAGGCAGAAGAAUAGCUUGAAUCUGGGGGGUGCGGCAUGGAGGUUGCAGUGAACCGAGGCUGUGCCACUUCACUCUGGCCUGGCAAAAGAGUGAAACUCU
rnacentral:lncRNA from 1 species